rnacentral:misc_RNA from 1 species
UCUCCGUUGGUGAACCAGCGGAGGGAUCAUUACCGAGUGCAAACUCAUAACCCUUUGUGAACCUAUAUCUGUUGCUUCUGCGGCUCGCUCUCGGGCGAGCCCGCCGGUAAUAUCAGUAUCUCUGUUUGAACCCGACGAUACUUCUGAGUGUUCUUAGCGAACAGUUAAAACUUUUAACAACGGAUCUCUUGGCUCUA